rnacentral:lncRNA from 1 species
UUCAGAGAAAAGCACAGAACUGCUGACAGUAUUUUUAUAUUAAAAUCUUUAAUUAAUAAAUAUAUACACAAAAAUAACAAAAAAAUAUAUGCAUGCUUCAUUGACUUAAGAAAGGCAUUUGACUCUGUAUGGAGAACAGCCCUUCUGUAUAAAUUAUGCAAAAUGGGAGUAGGAAAGUCUUUUUACAGAGUAAUAAAACAACAAUAUUUAAAUACCAAAUCCUCUUUAAAACAUAAAGAUCACAUUUCUGACUAUUUUGACAUUACUAGAGGUGUGAAACAAGGGGAUUCAUUAAGUCCUACUUUGUUCAACAUUUUUAUAAAUGAUAUCACUAAAGGUUUGGAAGAUGACAACUCAAGUCCUUUGGAGCUUAUAAAUAGUAAACUAGGCUCCCUCCUGUUUGCUGAUGAUCUGCUUUUACUAUCAGAAUCUAAGGAGGGUCUCCAAAAUAGUCUAAAUAAAGUUUCCAUGUUUUGUGAAAACUGGCAGCUUUCUCUAAACAUAAAUAAAACAAAAAGUAUGGUCUUUUCAACAACAAAGCAAAAGCCUGAAGCAUCUAUACUUGUAUAUAAAAACAAAAAAAUAGAGAAUGUUUCAGAAUAUCCUUACUU